ensembl:lncRNA
GUAGGAAGCUGUUACAUCUUGUAUUGCGGCACUUCGAGAUAGCUCAGUCUUUUAUCCUGCCGAUGGCUCUGGUGCUAGAAGAGUUUGAAUAUGCCAUGUCCACUUUGAAGACAACAAAGAACUUUUCAUCCAAGAGAAGGUUCGGAACAUCUAGCCAUGAGACAAGGAAUCUUCUGGCUGGAGCUUUUUGUAAUCCAUGGGAUUAUUUUUUAUAUAAAAGGUCUCAACCCCCUGCAAAUAGUGAUGCCAAGUAGGAUGACAGCAUACAGAAGAAAAACAGGCAACUCUACCAGCAAGAGGUACCACUAGGAGCUGGCAUGGAUGUGGACUGCACAUAAAAAGAUCAGCAUCUGAUCAGCAUCAUAAAAUGGUAGCUGAUGAUUGGCAACAAACAAAAAACGGAGCUUCCCUGGAGGUGUACCAGUUCCAUGAGCCUCCUGCCAGCUGAGCAGCACUGAUGCCAACAGUGGAGAAUAACAUCUAGAAGAUCAAUGAGGAAGGAUAUUUUACAGAGGUGUUAAAGAAAAGGAUAUAAAAAGGACAAUGAAGGUAAAGAAGACAUCAAGACAAUUUGUACCAGAGGGGAAGCAUCAUGAGCAAUUCCAUGUGGACCAACUGUACACUCAAAGAAAUUAGGAAAUAAAAGAGAACUGAGAGUACUAGCCAUGAAACCAUGGAGUGGGAGGAGCAUUCAAUAAGAUGAAUGUGGAUAUGCCACACAACUCCAGUUCCAGAGACAUGGAUAGUUUUUGGAGUCUUCCUUCUCUGUGUGUAUGGCUGAAACUGCAAAAUACAAGAGACAAGAAACAGAGUUCAGUGAAGCAGUACUCAGCUUUGUGUGGUAAUAUGAGGGCCAUGCUGAAGGCAGAAGAGUCCUUGAUGGUUCCGGCUGUCUGGCUUUCUAGGGUAGAGCUGUGGGCAAUCAAUUAACUCCACCAGUCCGAAAAGCAGAAAUGCAUGCAAGCAGACAUCAAAUCCUGCUUACAAGCAAUGCAAACUGAAUACAGCAACUUUGGAGAUUAAUGUUCCUGGACCAGGAGGGACACCAGCAGUGUGUUACUAUCUGGCAGAUCUACAGCAUAGUACAUGGAGAUGCUACCAGCCCCACCCAAAAUUACCUGUUAUGUAACCAAGUGAGAUGCAUUAAGAUCAUCUCCAACAUCGCCAUCUCCUGACUUUGAAUGAUAGUGCAUGUUGCUUCUGUGACAACUGGUAUUCAAGAAAUGAAAAAAUGGCACUCAAGAUUUCUGUUCUGAAUUUAAAAAAAUAAUAAUAAUCAAUUUUGCACUGAAUUUUUCUUCUUUGUAUUCUGAAAUGUUUUGUAGCUGAUUAUCAAAUAAUUUAUCUUUGAUUUUGUAGUUAUUGUUUGCGUAAGACCCCAUUAACUCUUACAGGGUAGGUGGGCAACUGAAAACGUCAGCAUAUAUAGAAGAAAUUCAAGAACUUCAAGCACUGUAAGCUGUAGAGAGAGUUCCAAGUAACUCUUCAGCAACCUCUGCAAAGUUCCUCUCUUCUGGAAAAUGAAUACUAACCCAGGACAAGAGAAGACUGACGCCUGAUCAAGCCGUGGAAAUCUCCCUGAUGACUUCACUGGGCUCUUGCAUGUACAUAUAGAGCAGUCAUCUCCAUCCACUUACAGUCCUGCACUGAUGAUGUUCACUUGAACUGUGAAAUGGUUAGCAUUUAAAAGUUGUCCCUUCUACGUGAAUCCUGCUGUGCCUCACGUUUUAUAAUGCCGAGUGUUGUUAAAUGUUUGAGCAAUAUUGCAAUUGUUUCUAUUUGUUGAAUUUAUUUGAAAG